CCCUUAGAUGUUCUGGGCUGCACGCGUGCUACACUGAUAUUGCCAAUAUGUCAUUCUUAUCCGAAAUGGAUUGGGUAAUCAAGUAAUGAAAUUUCAUGCUUGGAAUCGGUAAUUGCAAUUUUAUCGUGAACGAGGAAUUCCUAGUAAGCACUAGUCAUCAGCUAAUGUUGAUUAUGUCCCUGCCCUUUGUACACACCGCCCGUCGCUACUACUGAUUGGGUGUUCAAGUGAGAUGCUUAGACCCUUGUUGCAUGGUUCAUUAUUGGGCUCCGAAAGGAAAAAGUUUCAAGCUUGAGUGUCUAGAGGAAGUAAAAGUCGUAACA
rnacentral:rRNA from 1 species